AACGUAGGGGGCUAGCGUUGCCCGGAAUCACUGGGCGUAAAGCGGGUGUAGGCGGUUCUUUAAGUCGGAUGUGAAAUCCAGCGGCCCAACCGCUGAAUUGCAUCCGAUACUGAGGAGCUUGAGUCCGGGAGAGGUGAGUGGAACUGCGAGUGUAGAGGUGAAAUUCGUAGAUAUUCGCAAGAACACCAGUGGCGAAGGCGGCUCACUGGCCCGGUACUGACGCUGAGGUGACGAAAGGCGUGGGGAGCAAACAGG
rnacentral:rRNA from 1 species